CCCAGAGGUCACCCAUCCCACUGCAGGCAUGUGGAUGAACACGUCCAUAGGGCAUCAGCAUGAGCAGCGGCUGAAGUAUUGAAUCUGAAAUUACACACCCCGCACACUUACGGCACGGACCCCAAGGCAAGACGAAAGCUGAAGCACCUCUGUCUGAUGGUGGAGAGGGUUAUGGGCCUUACCGCCGUUCCAGAGCUAAGCACUGCCGCGCCAUCAACGGGGAAAGCUGCAGGUGUUCCUUGGCAACCUGACGGAGAGAUUCGGACUGCCAGAUCUGGGUGAAUUAGACCAUACCAACAAAUCGAGGAG